rnacentral:rRNA from 1 species
GCUAUCGACAGGCUUAACACAUGCAAGUCGAGGGGCAGCACAGGUAGCAAUACCGGGUGGCGACCGGCGCACGGGUGAGUAACGCGUAUGCAACUUGCCUAUCAGAGGGGGAUAACCCGGCGAAAGUCGGACUAAUACCGCAUGAAGCAGGGGCCCCGCAUGGGGAUAUUUGCUAAAGAUUCAUCGCUGAUAGAUAGGCAUGCGUUCCAUUAGGCAGUUGGCGGGGUAACGGCCCACCAAACCGACGAUGGAUAGGGGUUCUGAGAGGAAGGUCCCCCACAUUGGUACUGAGACACGGACCAAACUCCUACGGGAGGCAGCAGUGAGGAAUAUUGGUCAAUGGGCGUAAGCCUGAACCAGCCAAGUCGCGUGAGGGAUGAAGGUUCUAUGGAUCGUAAACCUCUUUUAUAAGGGAAUAAAGUGCGGGACGUGUCCCGUUUUGUAUGUACCUUAUGAAUAAGGAUCGGCUAACUCCGUGCCAGCAGCCGCGGUAAUACGGAGGAUCCGAGCGUUAUCCGGAUUUAUUGGGUUUAAAGGGUGCGUAGGCGGCCUUUUAAGUCAGCGGUGAAAGUCUGUGGCUCAACCAUAGAAUUGCCGUUGAAACUGGGAGGCUUGAGUAUGUUUGAGGCAGGCGGAAUGCGUGGUGUAGCGGUGAAAUGCUUAGAUAUCACGCAGAACCCCGAUUGCGAAGGCAGCCUGCCAAGCCAUUACUGACGCUGAUGCACGAAAGCGUGGGGAUCAAACAGGAUUAGAUACCCUGGUAGUCCACGCAGUAAACGAUGAUCACUAGCUGUUUGCGAUACACUGUAAGCGGCACAGCGAAAGCGUUAAGUGAUCCACCUGGGGAGUACGCCGGCAACGGUGAAACUCAAAGGAAUUGACGGGGGCCCGCACAAGCGGAGGAACAUGUGGUUUAAUUCGAUGAUACGCGAGGAACCUUACCCGGGUUUGAACGCAUUUUGACAGCUCUGGAAACAGAGCCUCUAGCAAUAGCGAUUUGCGAGGUGCUGCAUGGUUGUCGUCAGCUCGUGCCGUGAGGUGUCGGCUUAAGUGCCAUAACGAGCGCAACCCUUGCCACUAGUUACUAACAGGUAAAGCUGAGGACUCUGGUGGGACUGCCAGCGUAAGCUGCGAGGAAGGCGGGGAUGACGUCAAAUCAGCACGGCCCUUACAUCCGGGGCGACACACGUGUUACAAUGGCGUGGACAAAGGGAGGCCACCUGGCGACAGGGAGCGAAUCCCCAAACCACGUCUCAGUUCGGAUCGGAGUCUGCAACCCGACUCCGUGAAGCUGGAUUCGCUAGUAAUCGCGCAUCAGCCAUGGCGCGGUGAAUACGUUCCCGGGCCUUGUACACACCGCCCGUCAAGCCAUGGGAGCCGGGGGUACCUGAAGUCCGUAACCGAAAGGAUCGGCCUAGGGUAAAACUGGUGACUG